rfam:Operophtera brumata OBRT01_Sc05354, whole genome shotgun sequence.
AGUUCUAUGGCCAAAUUGGUCAAGGCAUUGCCAAAUACAUGCGAAGAUGCCGGUUCGAGUUCCGCUGGAACUG